rnacentral:ribozyme from 1 species
UAGCCAUUUUGGCUCAAGGUCCUGGCCCAAGGUCGCUUUUCACCCU